AAAUAACAGUUUCCUGAUAUGUUUUCUUUAGAUUUUGCAUCUAUUGAAAAGAUAAACUUUUUAAAAACUAUUAUACCUACUAAGUGAAAUUUAAAAGACAAAUCUACAAUAUAAUUUGAUACUUUAAGUCGGAAGAGCAUAAGUAAGGAAUCAAAAUAAUGAUAUUGGGGGUCUUUAUCGAGACUGGACCAUACCCGCGAAUUCGCAGGUCCGUACUCGAAUUAAAGAACAUACGCCUUAUUCUCAGCCUGGAUUUUGAAAAGUCGUAUUGUCAUUUGGUAGUCAAGCUGAUUAUAAGGUGCAAUGUCGAAGUUCAUGUAUAAUUAUUACCCGUUGUUAUAGAAAAUUCUGAAUACGCCUAUUGGUACCAUGCUAUCCGCUAUACAUCUUUGUCUUUCUUAUUGAAAAUAUCCUGAACCCUGUACC
rnacentral:lncRNA from 1 species